CUUUGCUACAAUCAUCCCUCAUGUUGAUGGGUUGUUGGCGGCUGGCUCAAACCGGGCCCUGCGCGGCGGGACGUCUGAACCGUGUCAGGUCCUAACGGAAGCAGCACUAAGGAUUGCAACCCGGGUGCCGUAGGUCUACCCGGUUUGAGCCAAGCGCCAACAACCCGUUUGCUUUUGAGUGGAAAG
rnacentral:SRP_RNA from 1 species